rnacentral:rRNA from 1 species
UUCCCCCUACGGGAGGCAGCAGUAGGGAAUAUUGCUCAAUGGGGGAAACCCUGAAGCAGCAACGCCGCGUGGCUGCUUCCGGUUUUCGGCUUGUCCCCUCCUUUUUUUCGCGCCUCUCCUGCCGGUCUCUCACGACUCAGCACCGGCUAACUCCGUGCCCGCCGCCGCGGUCCUCCGGCGGGUGCCCGCGUUCCUCGGCCUCCCUGGGCGUCCCGCGCGCGUCGGCGGGCUCGCCCGUCCGCUUUGCCCUCCUCUGGCUUCCCCCUCGCCCUGCCUUUGCCCCUGUUCUUCU